AAUCAACGCUGGCGGCGUGCCUCAGACAUGCAAGUCGAACGAUUAAGGCUCUCUUCGGAGAGUGCAUAGAGUGGCGCACGGGUGAGUAACACGUAAGUAAUCUACCCUCGAGUGGGGAAUAACAGUCGGAAACGACUGCUAAUACCGCAUAAUGCAGCGGCACCGCAAGGUGAAAGUUGUUAAAGGAGCAAUCCGCUUGAGGAGGAGCUUGCGGCAGAUUAGCUAGUUGGUAAGGUAAUGGCUUACCAAGGCUACGAUCUGUAUCCGGUCUAAGAGGACGGUCGGACACACUGACACUGAAUAACGGGUCAGACUCCUACGGGAGGCAGCAGUCGGGAAUUUUGGGCAAUGGGCGAAAGCCUGACCCAGCAACGCCGCGUGAAGGAUGAAGUAUUUCGGUAUGUAAACUUCGAAAGAAUGGGAAGAAUAAAUGACGGUACCAUUUAUAAGCUCCGGCUAACUACGUGCCAGCCGCCGCGGUAAUAC
rnacentral:rRNA from 1 species